GAUGAACGCUAGCGAUAGGCUUAACACAUGCAAGUCGAGGGGCAGCAUGGUCUUAGCUUGCUAAGACUGAUGGCGACCGGCGCACGGGUGCGUAACGCGUAUGCAACUUGCCUCACAGAGGGGGAUAACCCGUCGAAAGACGGACUAAUACCGCGUACACUCCAUCUUGGGCAUCCAAGGUAGAGGAAAUGAAAUUCGCUGUGAGAUAGGCAUGCGUCCCAUUAGCUAGUUGGUGAGGUAACGGCUCACCAAGGCGACGAUGGGUAGGGGAACUGAGAGGUUGAACCCCCACACUGGUACUGAGACACGGACCAGACUCCUACGGGAGGCAGCAGUGAGGAAUAUUGGUCAAUGGGCGAGAGCCUGAACCAGCCAAGUCGCGUGAAGGAUGACUGUCUUAUGGAUUGUAAACUUCUUUUAUACGGGAAUAACAAGAGUCACGUGUGACUCCCUGCAUGUACCGUAUGAAUAAGCAUCGGCCAACUCCGUG
rnacentral:rRNA from 1 species